rnacentral:rRNA from 1 species
GACCUCAGUUCAGGUGAGAUUACCGGCUGAAUUUAAGCAUAUUAUUAAGCCGAGGAAAAGAAACUAACAAGGAUUCCCCUAGUAGCAGCGAGCGAACAGGGAAGAGCCCAGCGCUGAAUCCCCCGGGCCUCGCUCGGCGGGAAAUGUAGCGUUUGGGAGGGCCCGUCAACACGGCGACUCGCUCACUGGUUCAAGUCCAACUUGAAUGGGGCCACACAGAGGGUGACAGGCCCGUAGAGCAGGAGCGGUUGUCGUGUGGGUCUCUCCUUAGAGUCGGUUUGCUUGAGAGUGCAGACUUAAGUGGGUGGUAAACUCCAUCUAAGGCUAAAUAUGACCACGAGACCGAUAGCACACAAGUACCGUGAGGGAAAGGUGAAAAGAACUUUGAAGAGAGAGUUCAAGAGUACGUGAAACUGAAGUGGUGUAAACGGACGAGUUCGAAAAGUCCGAAUGGUGAGAUUCAAGCUUACCGUGCCGGUGGCCCUCGGGUUCAGAUGGCGUCGUCAGCUCGGGCUUCGGUUCGGGUCAUACGGCGUCACUCGUCCUGGGGGUAUCUGUCUGGUGCGGUGGGCUGCACUUCUCGCCUAGUAGGACGUCGCGACCCGUUGGGAUGUUCCGUUCACUGGCCCUCGGUGGAGCCCGCGCCGGAGCGUGGCCUUGUGCCGCGUUGCUGUUUGCACGGACCCGGGGUGACCUGAUCGGCGCCCGACGUAUCAAAGCUUGGGAAGAGGCCGCACAGAGGAUGCGUUCGAUGGCCGUUUCGGCCUACACUCGGACAGGCCUGCACCCUGGUCAGCGGCGCUUCUGCUUUCGAACUCACCGACCCG